AGCUCCAAUAGCGUAUAUUAAAGUUGUUGCAGUUAAAAAGCUCGUAGUCGGAUUUCGGGUCGGGCCGAGCGGUCUGCCGAUGGGUAUGCACUGUUUGGCGCGGCCUUCUUUCCGGAGACCGCGGCUACUCUUAACUGAGCGGGCGUGGGAGACGGAUCGUUUACUUUGAAAAAAUCAGAGUGUUUCAAGCAGGCAGCUCGCUCUUGCAUGGAUUAGCAUGGAUAAUUGAAUAGAGUCCUAUUGGAUAAUUGAAUAGGACUCUGGUGCUAUUUUGUUGGUUUCGAACACCGGAGUAAUGAUUAACAGGGACAGUCAGGGGCACUCGUAUUCCGUCGAGAGAGGUGAAAUUCUCAGACCAAUGGAAGACGAACCACUGCGAAAGCAUUUGCCAGGGAUGUUUUCA
rnacentral:rRNA from 1 species